AUCCUUGUGCACAGGCAAGAUCAACAGCAGUGAAGUUUAGUCUGAGCUCUGAUUUUUGCUAGUAGGAAACUACAACUAUAUCUACGCCCCCGGCUCGCUCCCCCCCCCGGUGGACCGGGAAAUUUUUUGAAAUUGUCACGAUAU
rnacentral:snRNA from 1 species